AGCGAACGCUGGCGGCAGGCUUAACACAUGCAAGUCGAGCGGGCCCUUCGGGGUCAGCGGCGGACGGGUGAGUAACGCGUGGGAACGUGCCUUCUGGUCUGGAAUAACCCUGGGAAACUAGGGCUAAUACCGGAUACGCCCUUUUGGGGAAAGGUUUACUGCCGGAAGAUCGGCCCGCGUCUGAUUAGCUAGUUGGGGGGGUAACGGCCUACCAAGGCGACGAUCAGUAGCUGGUCUGAGAGGAUGAUCAGCCACACUGGGACUGAGACACGGCCCAGACUCCUACGGGAGGCAGCAGUGGGGAAUAUUGGACAAUGGGCGCAAGCCUGAUCCAGCCAUGCCGCGUGAGUGAUGAAGGCCUUAGGGUUGUAAGGCUCUUUUAUCCGGGACGAUAAUGACGGUACCGGAGGAAUAAGCCCCGGCUAACUUCGUGCCAGCCGCCGCCGUAAAAC
rnacentral:rRNA from 1 species